CGUAACACGUGAGGAACAUUACUUUCGUGUGGGGGAUAGCCGGACCCAACGGUCGGGUAAUACCGUGUACGACCUUUCGGGGACAUCCCCGGUUGGUGAAAGCCGCAAUGACGCCGAAAGAGUGCCUCGCCGGUCCUAUCAGCUUAGUUGUGGGUAAUGGCUCACCACGGCGACCACGGGUAGCUGGUCUGGAGAGGAUCGCCAGCCACAUUGGGCACUGAGCACACGGUCCAAAUCCAUAGGGAGGCAGCAGUGGGGAAUAUUGCGCAAUGGGCGAAAGCCUGAUGCAGGACCCGUGUGGGAUUACGCCUUCGGGUUGUAAACCAUGUCGGGAGGGACUUAAUGCCCCGCAAGGGGAGUGACAGGUCCCUUCCAAGGAAGUCUCCGGCUAACUCUCGUGCCAG
rnacentral:rRNA from 1 species